UCUUAGUGCUCGCCGGACAAAAAGAGAUUUUUUUUAAUAGUGCCCAGUUGCGACACUUUUAAUCGUGUGUUUCUGUGGUGGUAAUGAGGAAGGACAUGACUUACUACCAAGCUCACUGAGGACCUGAGCACGUUGGUGAUCUAUGCAGAUAUUAUGCCAGCACAUGAGGAGGAAUAACACACUGUAAGCAGGCUGAAGGUGAGGAUUAAUGGUCAUAGGCUGGUGUGGAAAUGAAGAAGUUGGAAAUGAUUUCUCUCUUCUCAUGUGUUCAUUUCACUAGAUGUAUGAGGUAAGCUGACAGAAAUAUUUGCCCCACAGAUCAUUUGGAGAAUCUAGCACGGCACACAAUCUCCAAGACAGGAGACGCAACAGGAGCUUUCCUGGGGCUUCAAACACAAGGCACAGAUUUUUGUUACAAGACAUUAUUGCAUGAGUACAUCCAAAAGAAACUGAACUAAAACCUACAGAAUAACUCACACUAAGCAAUUGGAAAUAUCAAUAAUUUCCUAGCUGCAUUUAACACACAUGCUGGCUAUUAAUAUCGAGUCAUAGUGGUUUCUCUUAUGAAAAAGAUUUAGUUCUCUCAGAGUUUAUUAUUAUAACUAUUGUCAGAAGAACACUUUAAAAGAAAUUCCACUGAUUUUAUCUUUUCUAUGAGGCAAGGACCAUCUCUUCUUAUGCACCUACAAAUUAUAUGGCAAACUGGGGACAGUCUCCCCAGCACAGAGGGGUAAGUAGUACAGCUAACAACUGCAGCAUUUGAUUGAUAUCCUCACUUCCUACAGCAAAGAUUUUGGUGUCUCCUCCCCUCCCCCCGGCUUUUCUCCUGUUGUAAGCCCUGCAGCUGAACUGAGCAGCACGGUGAACCUGCAGAAUCAACGCUGGCAGCUCGUUGAGGUUAAACAUGAUAAUUCAAAACCAAUGAGAUGGUACCCAGGAAGGACAGAGGGAUGUGAAGUGAAGAUGUGGAAUCAGCUGUGAUGGCCAAGUGUCCUUUAACUCAUUCUACAGCAUGUCUUGCACCACUCUCAUGCAACAGUAGUACCUGCUUCACAGUUCAUCUCGCUGAAGCGCAAGCCAGGGUGAAGGGAAACUUUUUCUAGCAUCAGCAGCUCCUGUGGACAGGCCAUUCCACUCUGCCCUGAGGCCUCCUGGUGCUCCUGUAACCCGCUGGAGGACAACAGAGUUUCCUCAGCAGGUCUCACCCCUUCUCUCAUGUCAACAUCCAUUCACUCCAUACCAGAUCAGGAGCCACUGCGUGUGCCCUAAGAAACACUCCGAUGCUUGGCUAUUAUUUGAUCCUGCCCAAACUAGCAAUGCAUACUUGCACUUAGCUAUACUGUUCCUCUAACAUACCUCUGAAUUUAUGAAAAAUUCAAAAUUUUGAGGCUUCAGAAUGAUACAAAUAGGUAAUCUCCUUUUAAUUCCUCCUCGCCUACUCCUCCACAAAUACCAAAAGUGUGCGGCUCCCAUAGCUUCUUAAGAUAAAAAGUAUUAUUGACCUUUCUGCUAUCUCUAGAUUCCUUUCCUCUCUUUUCUCUCACAGGUUUUCUGGCUUUCAGACUUGGAAAGUAGCUUACCAAAACAAACACUGUAUGAAUGCUGAGAGAACAGCAUCUGAUUAAGUGUUGGAUGCUCAUUGUAGCCUUAUUUUAUUUCUAUUUUCAAACAGUAAAACAGAAUAAGCUCCAUUAAAAGUUUGACCUUUGAAAGCCACAAUACUUGACUUAUCUUGAGAGAACACUUCCACCAUAGCAAGGCUUAUUUGCCAGUGCAUGAGUUGCUCAGAGCAGAUGACAUCAAUAGGUUGCUCUGAGCAUUUUAAGUACAAUUCAAAGAAAAAAGCAUCUUAAACUCUACAAUGCUUGGUCACAUUUUGAAGUAGAUUUCUCAAAUAUUCUGAAAAGUUGACUGAAGUCCUUCAGAAUAAUUUAUGUAACUGAAAGUCUUAAAUUGAGCUGGUAGAUGCCAAAUACUCUACUGAAAUACUUGAUAAAGGAAACGAUCUAUACUGCUGACCAUCAUCAGGGAGCAUGUAAGUUAUGCUCCAGAUUAAAAAAAAAAUUAAGUUCAAGGUGAACAUUUUACAGUAAGGUGUGUUAAAAACCACAUGUUAAGUCAACACAAGGUUUGUUAAACUUUGUUGCUCUUUGGCUUCACAGUCUCUGCUUUCCUCCAACACUGAAGUACUGAGGGCUGGCUGUGCGCAGGGUACCUUCACAGCCUCCUCAGAAAACUUACACAAACAUCCUCUCAUGAAAUUUCAGGCUUUUAAUCUUACUCCACACACUUCUGAAGGUUUUGAUAUGGCCUAUGUGGUCUAUAACUAAUUUAUUCUCAUUAUACGUCCAUUGUCAGUCUACCUGAGCAGUGGUAAGGAAAAUAACGUGCUGUAGCACUGCAGAGAUCUUGUCAAUUAAAUGCAGAGAACGCUUCAGUAUCUGUACACACAGCCGUACUGUCGAACUGAAAGUACACAGAAACCGUUAGGAAUAUGCCAUACUGCCUGUGUGUACCAUUACUCUGUAAAAUACUUCAAUAUUGCAGUAAUAUCUGCCAGCUGCAACUCACUGUUCUUCACAUCAAAUCAAAUGGCAUAAGUGUGUGGAGCCAGGACCGGUGUCAGCUAUUAUGUGGCAGUUUUUCCUAAGGGGACGUGCUGACAGACAAUCAAAACUUUUCUUUAAUAUUUCUUAUUGUGUUUCUGCUAGUGAGACUACCUGUCAUGUAGCAAUCAUUCCUUGCUUGUGACAGAGAAACAAAAACAGAAGACAAAAGCACUUGGAUACCCAUCUCAAAUGUUUGGAUUCGAUGAAGUUUGUUCAUGUUUGGGUUAGGCUUUGAACAGCGGUAUGCCACGGUGUGGUUGUGGACUUCGGUUAGUAGUUUUGGGGAAUGUCAGAUACCCUUAACUGAAAAUCCAAGACUCCCUUGCAAAAACCUGGCUCUUCACAUACACGCAAACUCUCCUAACACAUCACGCUGACUACGGUGGAAGGAUGCCACAGAUGGAAGCGUUCAGCCUGGAUGGGCUGAGCAUGCAAAAUCUGGAUUUUAUUUGAACUACCAUUGCAGGGCAGUGAAAUGUGAUAACAAAUACUUGUCAUACCACAUUGGUCAAAGUCUCGGCUUCUCUGUUAUAACAGCGAAAGUAAAAGCAAACAAGCAAACAAAACUCCCAAGCUCAAAGGAAUCCUUCCCAAACGGUAAGUGUGGUGUACCAUGUUGUGGUACAGAGGAUUUAGCACUGCUAUGUCAGCAUUACAGACUGACUGCCUUUGUCCUGAACACUGGCUAGGGUAAACUUUAUAUCAUUAAACUGAUGCAUGGUAUUUGGUGUAGCCAAUUGUGGUCACAGUGUAAAUCAGGAAUUUUGUAGCUUGAGAACCUCAGAUCUACGCUCUGUGCUUUAACAAAAUACAAUUUCCUGUGCAGAUUCUGCUACGCAAGUCGAUUAUUCUUACCAGAACUGCUAACAUUCAUAUUUCUUUCAACCAAAGUAUUUUCAAAUCAAAGCCACAAUGGUAACUGUCUAACACGGCAUACACAUUACACUGGAUAAUGAAUCCCUUUCUAGUUCAUGCAGUAAAAUCACCUAUUCUUGGCCAGCGUUUCAUUGCCUGUGCCUCCAACAUUUUUCCUCCUCAUUCCCCUACAUAUCUCUAUACAUCCAUUCUUUUCUGUCUCUUCUCUGACUGUGUAUUCCCUCUUUCAGUUUUCCAAUGCUAUCCAUGUUUUGCUUCCCUCAGCCAAUGUUUUCCACCCAAAAAAAAGGGGGUCCUAGUGCUUGUUCCUUUCUGUGCACCAUAGUCUCGGGUCAACUGUAGCACCUUCCUUUGCCCAGGAAUUGCCAGGGAGACAGCUGGGAAGACCAGACCCUUUGAAACCACCACAGAAAAGGCCAAAAGAAAGCAAGAAAACCAGUACAGGUGGGAGCAGCAAGUGGGGCUCACACCCCAGUUUGGGAAUGCAGGUGGGCAGACAAUGCUUGCUGUACGAAGCUGGAAACAAUGGAACUGAUGGAUGGGAGGAUUAGGCUGGAUGAGUAGAAAGGAAGGGCACUGCGCAGAAACGGACAGAAGAAAAAAUACAUCAAAGGGCUCAAGUAAGCAGUAAGACAUUUUAGGAUUAAGCUUUGCUGAUCCAAACCUCUAAACUACUGGAGGUUCACCCACCACUAAUCUUGUCCCCCUUCAUUUAUGAGAAAACAUGACCAAAUAUAAUCAGUUACAGGAUUCUGGGAUACGGUUAUAUCAAAUUAUAUCUCCUGUAACAAGAUGCAGUGCAGUGGCAUGGCCUGCAUUUCAGCUGUAGUAGCAGUCAGCUUUUUCCCUUAGAUGUCACAUCUUACUGUAAUUUACUAUCUGGAAGACUUGUAAUUAAAACCAUAUGCCUCACUUUUUUUGUGCACAUAAGGGGACCCACAUUUCUAUAAACUUUGCCAAUUGUAAACUCAUCUCUCUCUCUCCACUAACCUGUGGCCCAACUGCGUGUAAUAAGAGUAAUUUGGAGAAUGAUAUUUGGUUACACUCUAUUGCUGCAAAUUGCUGCUUUCCUCUAAUGGCCUGAAAAGUACAGAGCUAAACCAGUUAAUCUGAAAUAAGCUAAAACUGAAAGCUACGUUUUAGGAACAAGCGAUUAUAUUCUUCUAAUUAAUGCAACAUCACUUUGCAGUAGCUUAUAUGCCUUUUCUAAUAGCAAGGGUACAUUUUAGGACAGAUACCCAUCUCUUUGGUGAUGCAGAGUGGAUGUAAACCUGUCACACCUGAGAAACUUUGAUACAGACAAAACCCUAGCGGGAAUAACGCUGACAUACCUGGCUGCAUGCCGCCCUCCUGCCCACAGGUACAUCACAUGCAGAACUGCUACUGGAGUAGACCGAAAGAUGUAUCUGAAAUAUUACUGCAUUUUGGCUGCUGUCAGCUACCCUCCUCAGUGCCCGUACCCGUCCCAGUCCUGAGCAGCCUCAGGGACAGGCGAUACAGAAGCGAUGGGUACAGCCCUGCCCCCCCCCAGGCACUGGGACCAGGACCAGCUCUUCAUGGCCUUCGUGUUAAAAAGGCACGAAACCCCUCAGAAGGGGUCAUACUUUAUCUGUCAUUCAUUGGACUGUACCCAUGAUUUGGGCAUUUUUUUUUUUUUUCCAUGUUAAAUGACAGUCUGGAUAGCUGAAUUUUUGGCUGUUUUUUGGUCACCUGCAGACUUGUUCACAUUCUGGCACUGUAGCUUUGCAUCCCAUCCCUGGAACAGGAGCAGAGAGCUGCCAGACAGGGCGGUGCAGGACAGAGAUACUGCAGGAAUGAAGGCUAGACACCACGAUUCAACACACUUUGAUUCAUUGCUGUGGAUAACUCCAUCUCUCAUCUUUGGACAGCUUUCUCCCAGAUAUCUCAAUAAAGACAGGCCGCAUACACAGAGAUUUUUACCAUACUGUCUGUCUCAAUCUCUCUCAUCAAUAGAUACACGAGAUGAUAGCCCUACAAAUAUCAGAGCUAAACCUUCUGGUUACAGCACAAGGGUCAAUUGUUCAGUUAAUGUAACCAAACUCCACUGACUUCAGUUGAAAGACACCCAUCUAUCAGUGGAGAAUCUUUUCCCUUCCAGCUUUUUGCCUCCUCCCUGUCCAAAAAGCCCUAACAACACACAAAACCAGGACAAUUUUUCAAGAUGCUGUUCACAAGUAUAUUUACUGGAAAUAUUCCUGGUUUGAAGAGAUUUGAAACAUCAGCAUUGCCGUUCAUCUAUUCAUAUCAGUACUGAAGUUUCACGCACAAAUGCAAGGGGCUUUAUAAGAAAACAUUACUUGUCCCUUACUUUUUGUUUUCUUUAUUUCACCACAGCACCCACUCCUACUGCACCCUACUCCUCCUUUUCCCCUCAAUACCAAGGGCACAUUAACCUGGCUUUAAUCAUUCACUAAUGCGAAAACAUCAUCAUGGCACUUUCUGUCCUCAAGUCAUAUUGUGAGUUUAAUGCAUAUUUCUACUAAACUGUUGGAUCUAUAGAAAUCAAUCAACUAAAUACUUAUUUGUUGUCAUAAAAAAAAUUCUCUACCUUGAAACACUAAGAUUCACUUUUUAUCUACAUAUUACAGUUUUAGUUUGGUCAUUCAUUUUAAGUAAGAAAAAAAAUUGGAGGGACAAGACCAGCUCCAUGAAGUGCUUGAACAAAAAAAAAAUUUUGGAAUAGAAUCUAAGGAGUGUCCAAUCACUGCAUUGUCAGAUUAUUUAAUUCAAGAAAUAUUGACGUUUUCACUUUCAAAAUAUCAUUUUUAUUGCUUAAAAAAGGUUCCAAAUUAAAACUUUAAUGGUAAAACAUGAGUAUGUAACAAAAUGCCCAACAAAACAUUUUUUUCUGGGGGAAAAAGAUUUUUCUCUCUUACGCAUAUCCUAUAACCUUUAAAGGGGAAAAAUCCAGUGUUGUUUUCAUUACAACAUUCUCUCUUCACCCCUGCCCCCCCAAAAAAAAAUCAUCUGAUAUGGCUGUAUUUACUCAGCACUACUUUUAAAAUACCUCCAAGAGUCACAGUUAAUGCUGACACACGAGGCAUGCACUAACCUGUGAUGGCAUUUGUAUGACAGCUGAAUUUGCACGAGUGAUGAACAAGGACAAGUUGAAAAAAUACAGCUACCAGUACAGAGAAAAAAAAUCAUAAUAUGACCACAUAAAACUAAAAUGAAAAGUGGUUUUACUUAUUCUCUUUUCUUACUCAAAAAGUGGCUGUAAGGAAAGAGUAUUACAAAAUUUUGUCUUUCAGGGUGAGAUGUGCUUAGUAGCACUAUCCUUCAUAAUUCCAAACAAAACCGUUCCUGUAUGCCAUUCCUCAUCCCACUUCAUCUUCUGCCUGACUAGGUGGAGCUGACUGCUAAAGGGCAGUGACCAGUCACCAGGGUUUUGCUCUAGACAACAGAAAACAGCAUAUGUACACACACACAUCUAUAUAUAUAUAAACGUGUAUAUACACACAAACGGUGCAUUAUCAUAGGUAACUGUAUUUGAUCCACAUUUAGUAUCUGCCUGCCUAGAUCCCAGUAAUAGACAUCCACAGUUUUUGAUAAAAGUUCAGUUACUGCUCUGAAAUUAUAACCCACUGCAGCCAUGUGUUUUGUCCUGAACAGAAUAUGAAUUUGGACAAAAAUUGUAAAAUAUGGUGCUAUUUAGGGGAUAUUCCCUAUAGAAAACUUUCUGCAUCGUGUUGGGUAAACGUUCAUGCAGAGCAUUACUGCUGACGGACAUUGACUCUCAUCAGCCAUGCCAGAACCUGGAAACCUGUUAUCCUCCUUGCUUUACUGAAAAGAUAAUAUAAUUUGAUGUGUUUCAGGGAGCUUUGCUGAUGCACUCUGCACUCCAAUCUCACAAAAAAUGUUGUACUAACCUGCCUUGCACAACAGCAGAUGACCUUUGCCAGGAGAAUGUCACCUCUGAAACUGCUUCUAAGUGUGAUGACAGCAGUUUGCCAUUUUUAAGAGCACAGCAUCUCGAGCCCAUGAUGGUAAGAGCUGGCUGUGAGGUUAGACUGUCUUUUCUGGAUUUUUUUUUUCCUUCCUUUUAUAUGAACCUCCACAAAGCACCCCAAAAUGAAGACAUCACCCAAAAAAGGGAAGGCUGAGCAGCAGAUUAAGAAACAGGCUUCUAUAAGUCUCCAGACAAAAAGUUUUUCCCCUCCUCUUUGCCUUUUUUAGUAUCUCUUUGAUAAUAACAGUUGUACCAUAUGUUUGGGUGCAUUUUUAAAUUAUAACAAGAGAAGUCCAGGUUACAAUUUCAGUGAACUAAUCUGAUGGCAGUUAGGUCCCUCUUUCCCCCUUUUUUCUCCUGGAUAUUCAUCUUACAUUGGAUUGCAGUUUCAGACCUGCAUUCAGAUGAGCACAGCAAUAUUAUUUUAAAGUUAUUGAUUCAAAAGAUGGCAAGGGAGAAAUUCUGGGUUGUUAUGCCAAAAGCACCUGAAAUGAGAAACCUGUCACAAGGAAAAGGAGUAUCUUGUGCUGAAGAAGGAUCAGAGCCUGAGAGAGUCACGCAACAGAUGUGCAAGAACUGCAGCCAGAGACAUCCUGACAACCGUGCCAUUAAAGGUGUCAUUGCAGAAUGAGGAUCUGUCUUAAUGCUGGAAGUUUUGGAGAAGUGGAAAUACACAGGCCCAGGUGUACAAUCAAGAGUCUUUAAAGCAGCUGUUGACUAAUUUGUACAAUUUAAGUUGUCUUACAUGUCACAAUAUGUACCCAGCCUUGUACUUAGAACGUGGCACUGAACGUAUCGUGUGCUUGAUGUUGCAUAGCGGGUCUUAACAUCGUUUGGAUAAUACAAAGUCAAAACAGUCAGCUUCGUUAAGGAUCCUCAAUAAAGUAACCCUCAGAGGUACUGGGACUUAGUUACAUGCUCUUACAACAUAUCAGAGAGAAUGUGCUCCUUCAGGGGACAGCAGAUGGUGGGUUCCUUUUUUUGGAGUGGACACCUGGGAUCGCCCCAACACGUGUGGCAUCCACACCUUCCUCUGGGCAAUCUCACUUCUGGACUUACCAAUUACAUUGCAUUUUACACCCCCCUGAGGACUGUGUUAGUACUUUUAUUGUGUUAGAUGCUAUUCAUAUAUGUGGAGAAAGGACAAAGACAACACAAAACCUAAGCCCCCAUAAAGACACAUAGUCACGGUACAGCACUGUCACAGUUCAAUACACUAAAAUCUUAAAAAGGAUGGUAAAGAGCUCAUUAGAGAGCAGGACUCAGCUCUGUGCCUUGAAAUACAUCAAAAACUAUAUGUUUAUUAGUUUAGAAUAAAAGUUACUUUAAAAUAGACAAACUAUCAGCAUCAGAAGAUUUUGUGUUCUAUUUGAGCAGUGAA